GUUUGCGAGAUCGUCGCUUUUUCGAUUCAAGCGAAAUCUUCUGAUUCGAUCAAGUACAUUUCCUUGCAGAUGUGAACAUCGAAUCGCCUCCUUCCACGGUCAGGCGCUGUCUCGCCAUUUCCUUCACUGAGUAAUCCCCUCUUUCUUUUUCUCCUUGAAAGGAUCCUUGCACCAAGUCUACUUGGGUCUCAGGAACGCCAGUUCUCCUUCUCGACUUAUGGAACAGGAAUAGUAUAGAAUUAGUACAGCAUAGUAAAGGCCGGGAAACUGGAAGCAAGCAACGAGGAGGACGAGCAGGAGUCCGGAGAACUAGUCGGGUAACAGGGAUUGAGGGUAUACGCAAGAAGAAAAAUUCCAGCUACAGUCUGGCGCUUGCUGGGAGGUGCUAUGCUAAAAAUGUGAGGAGCAAAAGCUUCUCACUCGUCGCCGUCGUAUCCUCCUCGAGCGUCCGAGUUAUCUUCCGGGGGUCCGACGCUGCUAGCCGAGAAAGGUCCUUUUGCAUGUAAGAGCGGGGAUGUUAUCAAGUUCCUUCAGGGCCUGACGACGAACAACAUGAACAAACUUGAGCAGGACUCUCCAGCAAGGUUGCCCGCAUCCCACUCUCAAGCAGGCAAUCCACGGAGAAGCUGGACAGAUCAGGAACAGGCCCCGGGAGCGAGAAGUCGGCUCCGUAGCGGACGCUGAUGCAGAGAGUUGACGAGGUUUGCGUGUGUGUUUUUUUUCGCGAGGUAGUUCGUGACAAGCGUACAGGGACAACAAAAGCCAUGAAGGACAAACUGGCCGAAGUUCUGGGAGCUCGCGCUAUUCAGGUUAUUGCUUUGAUAUGCUAUCUAAACGAGGCCAAGCAUGAUCGAGGCGUUGUACCUUCAUCGGUGUUGCCAAAUUAGAUGUCAGAUCAAACUUGCAUAUACUGGUACUCCUGAUGAGCGGCGUCAUCUGUUCAGCUCACGAAAGCACGGAAGUUUGUUCAUGACUGACUGUUGAUCGCAGUUUAUCUAGGGAACGCUAGCAACGUUUUAAUAUUCUUGUGACAAACGAUAGACCAAAUUGAGUAGGCAUUACAUUAUAAUUGACAAAGGCCAUUGGAUAAAAAA